UAGGGUAGCCUGGAUAUCCUGACGGGCUUCGAACCCGUCGACGCGGGUUCGAAUCCUGCA
rnacentral:tRNA from 1 species